rnacentral:lncRNA from 1 species
AUAGGUACAACCACUCUAGACAACGCAUCUAACAAUGACAGGGCAGCCAACAUUCUAAUGGAUAACUUUAAAGGGAAAGGAAAAUUGCAUUUUGAGAGAUUGUUUUUUGUUGUGCUCACAUCCUAAAUUUGAUAGUGCAAGAUGGUUUAGGCUCUGCCUACCAUCUGUAUGUUAAUCCUCUGGUAUUCCCGUAACCCCUCAUCAAUAUAAGCUUCUUUCCUUUCUCUCUCUCACGAAAACUCUUUGAACUCCGGCGAUUCGUGACCAGGAAAAGUGAAGAGACAUAAGGAGAGAAUCGAAGAGAUAACCACGAGCAAGAGUGUCGGCAGUGACCAAACAAGGUUUCGAUUAGGGUUUCCCAAGGAGGAAGAAGGUGACAUGUUCUUGUUCGAUUGGCGUUCUGACGAGAACUGAAUCUGGGACUUUUAUGGAUGGUGAUUUGUUAGUGAACAGAGAUGGUGUUAGAAUUGUUUCUCAAAGCCAAUCUGAUACUAUACAUGGAAUCUUGCUUUGCAAGAAGAUUCCGGUGACUUACAAACCGCCAUUGUUAGUUACCGGAAUAAGUUCCCCUGGUCUCUUUUGCAACCCUUUCUCAUUUUAAUGGAAAGAUAUCAUCUUUUUGCUUCAAGUUGUAAACAGUUCCGAUACAAGCGUAAAUCACAUGUUUGCGGUGGUUCUUCUAAUAUGAUCGAAUGAAAGCCCCUGCCGAUAUUCAAGCUACAGUAGCCCAUAAUGACGAUGACAGGGAUGCAUUGAUUGGCAAUAUGGAAGGGGAGAGGAUGAGGAACCAUCGAAAGUUUCUUCCAAACCUCUGCCUCCCAGACCCAUGGCAGUGUGUUCAACAUUUUAUCUAUAGAACAAACCCUAUGCGUCAUCAUGCAGCAAAUUUCAGGCAUGAUUUGGUUUUACUGAUUGCCAAAUCCACCGUGACCGUUUACAUCAUCAGUGGCAACAGUUACAAUCACCAAAUCCACCAAGCCUUUCUCAGUUGUUCCCGAAAUUCCCAAUUUUCAAACCCGGAGACAAAAUAUGGCCUGAAUUUGAGAUCAAUCGAAGACUUCUAUUAUUGGUAAGAUUGGGAAACCUGAAACGGUGAUAACUGAAUCGGUUUAAGGCGCAUAGGGAAGUGUCAUUUGAUGAGGUUAAGGGGGGAAGGGAAGGUUGAAAUGAAGAAGGUUAAGUAUUUUGCGGGGAGUACAUUGUAUCAUAUUGAUGAUUUGUUGUUUAAGUUGGAAGAUAUGCCAACGAAUUAUGGUGGGUUUAGGAAGAAAGUUAAAGGGUUGAAGAUUAGGAAGACGAUUGAGGCGUUGGAUCAGUUGAGAGGGUUGCCCGUGGGUGGGGAUGUGGAGCCUGGUGAGAUCCGACUUUGGAUCAUUUGGGUUUGAAUCCUACUGCUACAAUGAACCAGGUAGGGUUUGAAGUUUUUGACAGUUUAUUGCUGGGGGUGUGCAAAUAUGAGACGACACUAACUUAACAUGAAAUUUUCAAGGUCGGUUUGAGUAUAAACGGGUUUGAGUAUUUUCGGGUUGAACCUGUUGACACAUUCAGCUAAUGAGGUCGUGUUUGUGCAACCCAAUGGGUUUGCGGGUUGCCACGUAACCCAUUUAGUUUUUUUUAGUGUCUCAGUUUUUUUUAAUUAUAUUGAUCGAGUGUUUUAUGCCAUAAUUUAAAACUUAAAUGAGAAACAGGUAUAAGCUAUUAUGGUUAAAAUGUAAAUGGACAAAAAUGUGAUUUAACAAAACACAGACACAUUUAAAAAAAAAAAAAACUAAACGGGUUAACGAGGCAACCUGCAAACCCAUUGGCUGAAUGUGUCAACAGCCAGCAUAUAUGGUGCUAAAUUUUCGUGCAAGAUCUCGCCAUGGCUUGCAAUGGGAUGCAUUUCUCCUCGCUCCAUGUUCGAUGAGUUGAAGAAGUCUGCAUUUAAGUAUGAUUGCUCAAAUCUGUCAUUGAAGGGGUGUUUGGUAGUGCAUGUUGGAAGUGAUAACAUGAAAUGAUUAUGAUCUCAAGCUAAUCACAAAUAUAAAAAUAGAUAAUUGAAGGCUUUAAACGGGAUACUGGUGGUAUGAGUUUGAGAUAAAUUGCAUGGGUGAUGAUGCCACAACUGAGAAGUGGAGCCAGGAGAUCAAAACGACUAGGUGAUCUUCAGCCCGCCACUCAACCGAUUGGGCAAACUGAAAACAAGGAAGACAGGUGGUUGAAGGGGAAGAGGUGAUGCUGUAGGUAUAGGAAAAGGGUUUGUGGGGCAACAAAAGGUAGGUCGGCGGCUGGCAAUAAAGGUAGUGGCGUUAGAUUGAUUGAUUUGGACCAAAGGCGAAGAGUUUAAGAGGGGUCAUACUGUUUGUGAG